CCUACGGGUGGCAGCAGUGGGGAAUAUGGACAAUGGGGGCAACCCUGAUCCAGCCAUGCCGCGUGUGUGAAGAAGGCCCUCGGGUUGUAAAGCACUUUCAGUGAGGAAGAACGCCUGGUGGUUAAUACCCAUCAGGAAAGACAUCACUCACAGAAGAAGCACCGGCUAACUCCGAGCCAGCAGCCGCGGUAAUACGGAGGGUGCGAGCGUUAAUCGGAAUUACUGGGCGUAAAGCGCGCGUAGGUGGCUUGAUAAGCCGGUUGUGAAAGCCCCGGGCUCAACCUGGGAACGGCAUCCGGAACUGUCAAGCUAGAGUGCAGGAGAGGAAGGUAGAAUUCCCGGUGUAGCGGUGAAAUGCGUAGAGAUCGGGAGGAAUACCAGUGGCGAAGGCGGCCUUCUGGACUGACACUGACACUGAGGUGCGAAAGCGCGGGUAGCAAACAGGAUUAGAUACCCGUGUAGUC
rnacentral:rRNA from 1 species